AUGCUCAUUUUGGCACACAUAUACUAAAACUGGAAUGAUACCGAGAAGAUUAGCAUGACCCCUGCACAAGGAUGACAGACAAAUUUGUGAAGCAUUCCAUAUUUAA
ensembl:snRNA U6 U6 spliceosomal RNA